rnacentral:rRNA from 1 species
CCUACGGGAGGCAGCAGUGGGGAAUAUUGGACAAUGGGCGAAAGCCUGAUCCAGCAAUGCCGCGUGAGUGAAGAAGGCCUUCGGGUUGUAAAGCUCUUUUACCCGGGAAGAUAAUGACUGUACCGGGAGAAUAAGCCCCGGCUAACUCCGUGCCAGCAGCCGCGGUAAUACGGAGGGGGCUAGCGUUGUUCGGAAUUACUGGGCGUAAAGCGUACGUAGGCGGCUUUGUAAGUCAGAGGUGAAAGCCCACGACUCAAUCGUGGAACUGCCUUUGAGACUGCUUCGCUUGAAGAUGGGAGAGGUUAGUGGAAUUCCGAGUGUAGAGGUGAAAUUCGUAGAUAUUCGGAAGAACACCAGUGGCGAAGGCGGCUAACUGGACCAUUCUUGACGCUGAGGUACGAAAGCGUGGGGAGCAAACAGGAUUAGAUACCCUGGUAGUCCACGCCGUAAACGAUGAUAACUAGCUGUCGGGGCUCUUGGAGCUUCGGUGGCGCAGCUACGACAUAAGUUAUCGUCCGUCGGGUAGGUACGGCCGCGAACGGUUAAAACGUUAAACGUAAGAAGUUAGUACGGCGUGAGAACGUGCCGAACGGACGACGACGAGGGGAGGUUAGG